UUUUAAAGAGAGUUUGAUCCUGGCUCAGGACGAACGCUGGCGGCGUGCCUAAUACAUGCAAGUCGAACGAACGGAGGAAGAGCUUGCUCUUCCAAUGUUAGUGG
rnacentral:rRNA from 1 species